rnacentral:rRNA from 1 species
UACGGAGGGAGCUAGCGUUGUUCGGAAUUACUGGGCGUAAAGAGCUCGUAGGCGGCUUGUCGCGUCGACCGUGAAAAACUCACAGCUCAACUGUGAGCUUGCGGUCGAUACGGGCAGGCUCGAGUUCGGUAGGGGGAGACUGGAAUUCCUGGUGUAGCGGUGAAAUGCGCAGAUAUCAGGAGGAACACCGAUGGCGAAGGCAGGUCUCUGGGCCACUACUGACGCUGAGAAGCGAAAGCAUGGGGGAGCGAACAGG